rfam:Salmo salar isolate Sally breed double haploid chromosome ssa16, whole genome shotgun sequence.
UGCACACAUGACUGUAAGUCACUUUAGAUAAAAGUGUCUGCUGAAUGACAUAUA